GCCUGGGUGGCUCAGUCGGUUAAGCGUCCGACUUCAGCUCAGGUCACGAUCUCGCCGUCCGUGGGUUCGAGCCCCGCGUCGGGCU
rnacentral:tRNA from 1 species